GUCUGGCUAAUGGCGCUUCUCCUGAUCUCAGCCUGCACCCUCGGUUCUUGGCUGUCUGUUUUUCUGGCUCCCCUUGCUUGCAGACCUCACUGUAAUGGUCUGGUUUCCAUGACUCAGCUCACUCAUGGACUUUUCUCUCCUCUUAAUUUCGUGGCUUGCCCCUGCGCUCUGCUUGCCCUCUCCCACUUUCCUAUGUGGCCACUUCUGGUAACCUUGAUCUCUGAUCGGUCUCCAGGUCUAGUCACCCAUGACCUGAUGCUGCCAGUCUGCCUGGACUACCCUUUGGCGAAGAGGGCCUGUUAAUGGAUGCCUCUCCCCUGGUGGUGCUCCCAGACCCCCCUGCUUUAGAUGCCAAUUCUCAAGGAGACCUAAAGGCCAUGCAGGAGUGGCUGAUUCAGCUUGCCUGUACCUGACAAGCCUUGGAGCUUCACUUGCUGCAGUUGACUACUGCAAACCAGACCCUUCAAUACCCGGUUGCCUGUUUUCAGGAGCGUUCCUGGUUGGAGGAAACACGGCAGCUGAGAGAAGAGAGCGUGUUCUGGGCCCACCUGGAACCCUGAGCUUGAGACCAUUACCCGAAACCUGUAUGUGGCAGACACCAACUGCAACAGCAGCUGAAUUCUAAUUCUGAUAGGGUCCAUGAGAAGAGGUGAAGGCUGAACUUGCCUAGGUGGAAGUGCCCUCCAAACCUCAUGACUUUGUGGAUUUAGUGAUCUGCAUUCUCAGUCUUGCACCCUACAGAAAAGGAAAGAAGAAAAGAGGUACUCUUUGUCUUCUCCUUGUCCCUGUCCUCUGCUCCUGAACCUGUGCCAGUAGGUGGGGGAGGACUGCCACCUUACCCUGAGCAAGUGGGAAUGACACUGCCAGCACAAUUUUUGCUUCUGUUGUGGGACAUCAGGACAUGUGCUUGACUAUUGCUCUACAAGAAGGGAAACAUGCCUCCACCUUCUCUCACCCAGCCCUGCAAGGGGUAUUGACUUGGGGUCAGCAAUAAAGGUGAAACCUGUAGCCAAACUAAACUGCAGACCUUUCAGAUAAAGUUAUCUGUUCACUUGCAGAUCCCAGGCUGAGCCUGUUGUACUGCUGGUAUUACCUACCCUACCAGACUCUGGGGCAACUAGAAAUUUCAUUAAUGAAACUAUUGUCCAAGCCUUAUGUAUCCCUUUAUGAUAACAGCUCAGGCUGGGAAUAGUUGAGACCAUUUAUAGCUCCCCUCUUCAUCAGGCUCCCUGGAGUUGGAAACCCUCACCCUUGAUGUGGAAAUCUGCAAACACAGGGAAACUUUGCUUUGGCGCAGUCUGAUCCCACAUUACUUCCUGAUCCUGAGAUCCUUUUGGCUCACCUGUUAUGGUCCCCUGGUCCAGUGGAAAAGCUAUGAAGUAUUUUACAUCCAGUUUUUGCAGGAAACACUGUUAGAAACCCUGGAUGGUUGACCCAACCUAUGAUUUCAGGCUGGAAUCCCAACAGAUAGCAGGGUAUAUUUGAACCUUAAACUAAACAAAUUUCUAUAAUAUA